AGCGAACGCUGGCGGCAGGCCUAACACAUGCAAGUCGAGCGCCCAGCAAUGGGAGCGGCAGACGGGUGAGUAACACGUGGGGAUCUACCCAAUGGUACGGAAUAACCCAGGGAAACUUGGAUUAAUACCGUAUGUGCCCUUCGGGGGAAAGAUUUAUCGCCAUUGGAUGAACCCGCGUCGGAUUAGCUAGUUGGUGAGGUAAAGGCUCACCAAGGCGACGAUCCGUAGCUGGUCUGAGAGGAUGAUCAGCCACACUGGGACUGAGACACGGCCCAGACUCCUACGGGAGGCAGCAGUGGGGAAUAUUGGACAAUGGGCGCAAGCCUGAUCCAGCCAUGCCGCGUGAGUGAUGAAGGCCUUAGGGUUGUAAAGCUCUUUCGCCGGUGAAGAUAAUGACGGUAACCGGAGAAGAAGCCCCGGCUAACUUCGUGCCAGCCGCCGCAGUAAUAC
rnacentral:rRNA from 1 species